CUUGUCCAAAAGAAUUUCCUUGAAACAUUUGGGACGGAAUAUGAUAGAUCGAUAAUUCUUUGCAGUUGUCUCAGAAACGAGAUGAUUAUUUUCAUAUGAACGCCAAGGUUGAGGUUCCAGCACUAGAAUACCACCCGGACGAAGAAGCCUCCAUAUUUUUGAAAACAAAGUAAUCAGUCCAUCGUCACCCCAGUUCAAAUGAAUCCACUUUGUCACACUCAAGCAAAGAAUUGUAUCAUAGUGCUCCUCUGGCCGACACCAACUUUGAACAAAAUUCUCUUUUCGGAAAGAAACUAUAUCAAAUAGAUCUCUUUCCGCAGAAUGCAAACCGUCCUUUGCAACCUCCUUUUCUUUAGCUGAUGAUGAAGUUGUACAGUGCUCUGAAUCAUUUGCCUUCUCUGUGACCUCCACUGUGGAAGCCUUUGUACUACUCUUCCCAACAUGUUCAACUCUCACAAAUUUUCUCAAGUGCCAAUAUGCAUCUGAAAUUCGAUCAGGGUCAAUGUCAAUCCCAAGGAUUCUGCGGCAAUGAAACUUUUUUGCAAUCUGUAUAGUAAUAAUGCC
rnacentral:misc_RNA from 1 species